GCGGCGGACGGGUGAGUAAUGCCUAGGAAUCUGCCUAGUAGUGGGGGAUAACUUGCCGAAAGGUAAGCUAAUACCGCAUACGUCCUACGGGAGAAAGCAGGGGACUCUUCGGAGCCUUGCGCUAUUAGAUGAGCCUAGGUCGGAUUAGUUAGUUGGUGAGGUAAUGGCUCACCAAGACUGCGAUCCGUAACUGGUCUGAGAGGAUGAUCAGUCACACUGGAACUGAGACACGGUCCAGACUCCUACGGGAGGCAGCAGUGGGGAAUAUUGGACAAUGGGGGAAACCCUGAUCCAGCCAUGCCGCGUGUGUGAAGAAGGUCUUAGGAUUGUAAAGCACUUUAAGUUGGGAGGAAGGGCAGUUAACUAAUACUUGACUGUUUUGACGUUACCGACAGAAUAAGCACCGGCUACUUCGUGCCAGCAGCCGCGGUAAUACGAAGGGUGCAAGCGUUAAUCGGAAUUACUGGGCGUAAAGCGCGCGUAGGUGGUUCGUUAAGUUAGGAGUGAAAGCCCCGG
rnacentral:rRNA from 1 species